UAGUAAGAAGCAAAAUAUUGCAUUUAGUUUCGACCUAAAAAUUUAGUUUUUACUCUACUAUUUAUAAA
rnacentral:tRNA from 1 species